GACAUAGGUGGCAAACGUUAUCCGGAAUUAUUGGGCGUAAAGGAUGUGUAGACUGUUUUGAAAGUUGCUAGUGGCAAAUUGGAAGUAAUUUCAUGGAAGUUAGUAAUACUUCUUAACUAGAGCUCAGGAGAGGUUAAUGGAAUUUCAUGUGGAGCGGUAAAAUGUGACGAUAUAUGGAGGAACACCAGAGGCGAAGGCGAUUAACUAUUCUGUUGCUGACGUUGAGAC
rnacentral:rRNA from 1 species